rnacentral:rRNA from 1 species
GAUGAACGCUGGCGGCGUGCCUAAUACAUGCAAGUCGAGCGAACGGACGAGAAGCUUGCUUCUCUGAUGUUAUCGGCGGACGGGUGAGUAACACGUGGAUAACCUACCUAUAAGACUUGGAUAACUUCGGGAAACCGGAGCUAAUACCGGAUAAUAUUUUGAACCGCAUGGUUCAAAAGUGAAAGACGGUCUUGCUGUCACUUAUAGAUUGAUCCGCGCUGCAUUAGCUAGUUGGUAAGGUAACGGCUUACCAAGGCAACGAUGCAUAUCCGACCUGAGAGGGUGAGCGGCCACACUGGAACUGAGACACGGUCAAGACGACUACGGGAGGCAGCAGAAGGGAAUAUUCCGCAAUGGGCGAAAGCAUGACGGAGCAACGCCGCGUGAGUGAUGAAGGUCUUAGGAUCGUAAAACUCUGUUAUUAGGGAAGAACAUAUGUGUAAGUAACUGUGCACAUCUUGACGGUACCUAAUCAGAAAGCCACGGCUAACUACGUG